CACUUGUAGAUGAUUUAUGUUUUCCUUUUUCUGAACUAAUAUAUCACCGUUAACUGUGUGAUGGUCCUGCAGCUCUAGGACUAUAUUAGAAAAAUACCUGAAGCACACAGUCAGCAUAGCUGAGGAUCACAAGACUGCAGACAAGUUGUCUAUGGCAAAACGAAGCCAAAUGCAUUUCCAUCUUGCUCAUUAUGUAGAUGAUCUAUUUCGUAGUUCUGAAGAGAGACUUAACUCGAAUGAAUGGCAAGUAACAAAUCCCUGUGACGGAAAUCGUUUCUUGGUCUUUAUAAUUAUGCUUGUUCCUCCUUUAACUAUUGAAUAUUUGGCAUGACUGGAACAUUAAACAUUUGUACUUUUCUUUUCACACAUGGGUUGAUGAGGUUAUUCCUGAUGUGCCGGUGGUGAUAAAUCAAGAGUUCAUUCUCAAGCACCAAAUAAGAUUAUUUUAAGAUGCUAAAAAGAUCAUGAGGGCUAUCCUGCUCAUUUCUUCCUUUAUCUGUUUGGUUUAAAAUUUAUAAUGUUCCUUCACUUCUAUUUAAACUGAAAUUGGUUACUGUCGUUUGUGUUUUGUCCAGCCUUCAACUUAUUUCAAUAGAUAACUAAAUCUCUAUUGUAUUUUCUGAAUUUAGAUUCAUACUCAAUCAGAGUUUUCUUAGGACGAGCUUCUCUUUAUGGCGAUCAUGAAGGUUGAAUUUACCCAUUGCAUUCAAAGAUAGAUGCAAGCCAAUGAGAAAGUAACGGGAAGGAUUUUUGAGAGCUAGCCAAUCCAACGGUUUGAAGACAGCAAGUUGUAAAUUAUCUUCUUUUAUACAAUAAUUUUCUGUUGUUUAAGAGGAGUGUAAGAUAAUAUUUAUUUGAUGGGCAAUAUGUAAAUCAAAAUUUUUCUUUGAUUCAUUACAAUGAUGUGUUUUGUCUAUUUGUAUGGAUUAAUAAAAUUAUAUCAAU
rnacentral:lncRNA from 1 species